ensembl:lncRNA
CCUCCUGCGGCCUCCAGGUUCGAAGGAGAAUAAACCGGCGUGCGUGUGCAGAGACGGCGGGCAGCGCCCCGAAGAACGCCGACGCCCACCAGCCGUCCUUUGUGUUCGUCCGCGUGCGUGUUUUUGCACCACGGGCACAUUUUCGCACCCGCAAGAGACGACAAGCGGGCCUGGCAGCCGGCGCUCGUGUCAGCAGCCGCCGCCGUGAGGCUGGCACGCCGGGCGCCCGGCUGAGGAGACUCGUCCCUCUGCGUCCCGCAGCCAGAGAAAGUAAAAGUAGGUCAGUUUUCCUGUUCAGUUCGCUUCUCCGCUGUGGUCGUUGUUCGCCUCGUUGGUACACGACGACGCGUCAUCGUUUCUUUGGAAGUCGUUUAAUUAUUCUAUUAGACGCUUCAUUUAUUCACCGCCGUGUUGUUGUGCCAACCGGGAGAAGGUACACGCCGUACUUUUCCCACAGUCAUUUUUCCAGUUUCUUUCGCUCUCUCGACAGUAUUUAACCCCCCCCCCCUCACACGUCCCCUUUCCCCGCCAUAAUGUGUGUCCAGGGUGAUUGGUGGGUUGGGCGGUUGAUGUGGAACACAUGCCUUUAAUGAUUCACACUCGGCGUGCGGUAGGUCGGCGGUAGCCUGGGAUUCCUGCGUUUUUCGUUUUUUUUAUUUUUUUUCCCCUGCGGUGGUGUUUUUUUUUUUUUUGAACUCUUCUUCGGACACGGAAACUACGGCAAAGUGGAAACGUGCCGUUUGUGUACGGCUUGCUCGCUCUCUGGAUGCUGAACCCGACUCGCUUUUUACCGCCUUCAUGCGGCGGCUUUUCUUGGAUUAGCGUCCACUUGGGUUUCUCUUCCACCGUGUGAUUCAACAACUGGGCUCGUCAGAUUCAACCAACUUUGUUACUGUUGAGUUAAACGCGCGCACGUCAUUGUGGGUUCCAUCCAAUAACCGAUCGGCGUGCGUGAGUCGCGGCAGGGCGUGUCCCGCCGCCCCCCCCCCCAAGCGAACAUGAAUGGCUUCCUGUUUUUUGCCCCACCUCGGCCCGGGGUCGGGCCUCCAUCUUUCCAUCCACGCUUCCAUCUUUUGUUCCCUCUGUCUCGCCGUCCCGCAGCCCCGUCUGACCUCUGCUUCCUCCGCUCUCACACACACACACACACACCCGGGCGUGGUGUGAAGACGAGUUGCUCAUCUGCAGCGAGCGCUCAGGAAAACGGCGUGCACGUGGCGUUUCAUUAAUGUGCCAACGUGGCGAGGAGGUGACGGCUGUGUGUGUGUGGCGUCGGACGUCUUAAUAAUCAUGAGAUCACCGCUCCUGUUUAUGGAGGUUUUUUUAUGUGGUGGUGCUAAUUUUUUACAAUACCCAUAAUCCUCAGCGCAACAAAGUGCUGCUUCAAUGAAACUGAAACUUUGUCCGGCGCUCUCUGGGCUUGUGGCGCGGAGAGCGUCCGCUGUGCGCGAGUGCUGAAAUUGACGGAGAGACCUCCCCGGAUUUAUGUGUUGCUACAAAGCACCACCCGAUUCUGUACGGAGGAAAGCCCGGCCGCUCGGGGCGGGAGGGCGUAGCUAGCGGCACGCAGUAGUCUGCAGUUCCUCUUUGGGGCGCCUCCUGACAGGAACUUGGCAGCAAGGAAACAUAAACAAAUUCCCUGUGGUGGGCUGGCAUGCUGGGCGGCGCGGUCCCUCCCCCAUCUCCCCC